CAGCCACAUGGCUGUGGUAGAUAAGGUGACCAUGCACACCGUGCAUGCAAAACAGGUUGUGUGCCACACAGCGCUGAGAACCGCAGACUCAAGGCCGCACUGGCUGCCCUUCCUCUGUGAAUGGCCCCAGGAUUGCUGUGAGAAUUAAGUGAACUACCAGAUGUCAAAUGCUGUAUUUAGAGCAAGACUUGCACAGAGGAAGCCCUGAAAACUCAAGAGGAUGGGAAGAGAGUGGAAAUAUUCUCAAAUCAAAGACCAAAUGGUUCCUGAAACUUCUAGUUAGAAGGAGAAAUCAGAAGUCCUACCCUCUCUCCCAUGGAUAUUCGAGUGAUCCCAUAAACCAGUGUUUGAUACUUCAGACCCCAGACUGGCAGACACCUCCAGAGAAGAAAGUACCAGCCUGAACACAUAGCAAUCAACAGGAGUUGAUUUGUUUUGACUACUUUUUGCUUCCUAGAAUGCUAGUCUUUCUUGAUCCUAAAUAAUAAAAUUUUUAAAAAGA